rnacentral:misc_RNA from 1 species
GAGCAUCCUUCCACCCUCAAUAUUCUAUCUAUUAUCCAAAUUGCCUUCUCUUGGAGAUCUCCAGGUCGAACUUCUGUGAAAAGAACAAUCACAGCAUCAACAACCCCUUGUUGUUCAAGCUCCUCAACAGCUCUUUUACAGCUAUUUGAAGUAUCUGGCACAAGAGUUGAAAGUGUUUCAACGGCAGCAAUUUGAACAUUAGUAUCCUUGUCAGUUAGAAGAUCAACCAGGGGUUUGAUACAAUUGCUCUUUAGCAAGCAUAACUGACUACUUUCAUCACAUGGAACACUGUGUAAUGGACAAGUGGAAGGUUUAGGAGGACCACUCCCACACAUGAAGAUCCAAGAAGCACAAAAUCCGCGGCGAGGUGGUGGUUCUGAUUUAUCAGAAACAAGUAACCUGCC